rnacentral:rRNA from 1 species
CCCACAAAUUUCAAUCUAACGGCCAUCAUUUAUCUAAUAGCGGGAUGGUGUGUACUUAGCAAUUUCUAAUGACUGACCGUACUCCACCACCAGAGGAGUAUUCCAACAACCAAUCCCAUGUUUCCCUGCAAUCACGCAAUCAGAUCGCAAACUAAGGAAACACAACCAAAUCUGCUCCCUCCCGUGUUUCCCUACAAUCACGCAAUCAAAUCGCAAACUAAGGAAACUCAAUCAAAUCUGCUCCCUCGCCCUUGACCUCGACGUUUGUCUGCCUUGAGUCACCACCGCACCAGAUGCCGCCCACCAACACCGUCGCCUCCCUGCACGAUCGCCAUCGCCGAUUGUUGCCGCUCGCAGCGUCGAAUCCGUCAUCAACAUAGCGGGCGCCCAGGAACCUACCCUCGCAGCAUGGCAUCCAUCCGCGAGAUCGCCUGCCUCGACACCCGCAUGGCUACGGCCGCCCUGCACAUCCCCUGAACCAGCCGGACACACGCAGCUGUAAUUUCCUCCCUGCACUUCUUCAGGUUUGACUUCUUCCUUUGAC